UACGUAGGGAGCGAGCGUUAUCCGGAUUUAUUGGGUGUAAAGGGUGCGUAGACGGGCUAACAAGUUAGUUGUGAAAUCCCUCGGCUUAACUGAGGAACUGCAACUAAAACUGUAAGUCUUGAGUGCAGGAGAGGUAAGUGGAAUUCCUAGUGUAGCGGUGAAAUGCGUAGAUAUUAGGAGGAACACCAGUGGCGAAGGCGACUUACUGGACUGUAACUGACGUUGAGGCACGAAAGUGUGGGGAUCAAACAGG
rnacentral:rRNA from 1 species